GAGAUUCCCCCAGUAGCGGCGAGCGAACGGGGAGCAGCCCAGACCCUGAAUCAGUGUGUGUGUUAGUGGAAGCGUCUGGAAAGGCGUGCGAUACAGGGUGACAGCCCCGUACACAAAAAUGCACAUAUUGUGAGCUCGAUGAGUAGGGCGGGACACGUGGUAUCCUGUCUGAAUAUGGGGGGACCAUCCUCCAAGGCUAAAUACUCCUGACUGACCGAUAGUGAACCAGUACCGUGAGGGAAAGGCGAAAAGAAC
rnacentral:rRNA from 1 species